UUAAGCGACUAAGCGUACACGGUGGAUGCCCUGGCAGUCAGAGGCGAUGAAGGACGUGCUAAUCUGCGAUAAGCGUCGGUAAGGUGAUAUGAACCGUUAUAACCGGCGAUUUCCGAAUGGGGAAACCCAGUGUGUUUCGACACACUAUCAUUAACUGAAUCCAUAGGUUAAUGAGGCGAACCGGGGGAACUGAAACAUCUAAGUACCCCGAGGAAAAGAAAUCAACCGAGAUUCCCCCAGUAGCGGCGAGCGAACGGGGAGCAGCCCAGAGCCUGAAUCAGUGUGUGUGUUAGUGGAAGCGUCUGGAAAGGCGCGCGAUACAGGGUGACAGCCCCGUACACAAAAAUGCACAUGCUGUGAGCUCGAUGAGUAGGGCGGGACACGUGGUAUCCUGUCUGAAUAUGGGGGGACCAUCCUCCAAGGCUAAAUACUCCUGACUGACCGAUAGUGAACCAGUACCGUGAGGGAAAGGCGAAAAGAACCCCGGCGAGGGGAGUGAAAAAGAACCUGAAACCGUGUACGUACAAGCAGUGGGAGCACAGAGCAAUCUGUGUGACUGCGUACCUUUUGUAUAAUGGGUCAGCGACUUAUAUUCUGUAGCAAGGUUAACCGAAUAGGGGAGCCGAAGGGAAACCGAGUCUUAACUGGGCGUUAAGUUGCAGGGUAUAGACCCGAAACCCGGUGAUCUAGCCAUGGGCAGGUUGAAGGUUGGGUAACACUAACUGGAGGACCGAACCGACUAAUGUUGAAAAAUUAGCGGAUGACUUGUGGCUGGGGGUGAAAGGCCAAUCAAACCGGGAGAUAGCUGGUUCUCCCCGAAAGCUAUUUAGGUAGCGCCUCGUGAAUUCAUCUCCGGGGGUAGAGCACUGUUUCGGCAAGGGGGUCAUCCCGACUUACCAACCCGAUGCAAACUGCGAAUACCGGAGAAUGUUAUCACGGGAGACACACGGCGGGUGCUAACGUCCGUCGUGAAGAGGGAAACAACCCAGACCGCCAGCUAAGGUCCCAAAGUCAUGGUUAAGUGGGAAACGAUGUGGGAAGGCCCAGACAGCCAGGAUGUUGGCUUAGAAGCAGCCAUCAUUUAAAGAAAGCGUAAUAGCUCACUGGUCGAGUCGGCCUGCGCGGAAGAUGUAACGGGGCUAAACCAUGCACCGAAGCUGCGGCAGCGACGCUUAUGCGUUGUUGGGUAGGGGAGCGUUCUGUAAGCCUGCGAAGGUGUACUGUGAGGCAUGCUGGAGGUAUCAGAAGUGCGAAUGCUGACAUAAGUAACGAUAAAGCGGGUGAAAAGCCCGCUCGCCGGAAGACCAAGGGUUCCUGUCCAACGUUAAUCGGGGCAGGGUGAGUCGACCCCUAAGGCGAGGCCGAAAGGCGUAGUCGAUGGGAAACAGGUUAAUAUUCCUGUACUUGGUGUUACUGCGAAGGGGGGACGGAGAAGGCUAUGUUGGCCGGGCGACGGUUGUCCCGGUUUAAGCGUGUAGGCUGGUUUUCCAGGCAAAUCCGGAAAAUCAAGGCUGAGGCGUGAUGACGAGGCACUACGGUGCUGAAGCAACAAAUGCCCUGCUUCCAGGAAAAGCCUCUAAGCAUCAGGUAACAUCAAAUCGUACCCCAAACCGACACAGGUGGUCAGGUAGAGAAUACCAAGGCGCUUGAGAGAACUCGGGUGAAGGAACUAGGCAAAAUGGUGCCGUAACUUCGGGAGAAGGCACGCUGAUAUGUAGGUGAAGUCCCUCGCGGAUGGAGCUGAAAUCAGUCGAAGAUACCAGCUGGCUGCAACUGUUUAUUAAAAACACAGCACUGUGCAAACACGAAAGUGGACGUAUACGGUGUGACGCCUGCCCGGUGCCGGAAGGUUAAUUGAUGGGGUUAGCGCAAGCGAAGCUCUUGAUCGAAGCCCCGGUAAACGGCGGCCGUAACUAUAACGGUCCUAAGGUAGCGAAAUUCCUUGUCGGGUAAGUUCCGACCUGCACGAAUGGCGUAAUGAUGGCCAGGCUGUCUCCACCCGAGACUCAGUGAAAUUGAACUCGCUGUGAAGAUGCAGUGUACCCGCGGCAAGACGGAAAGACCCCGUGAACCUUUACUAUAGCUUGACACUGAACAUUGAGCCUUGAUGUGUAGGAUAGGUGGGAGGCUUUGAAGUGUGGACGCCAGUCUGCAUGGAGCCGACCUUGAAAUACCACCCUUUAAUGUUUGAUGUUCUAACGUUGACCCGUAAUCCGGGUUGCGGACAGUGUCUGGUGGGUAGUUUGACUGGGGCGGUCUCCUCCUAAAGAGUAACGGAGGAGCACGAAGGUUGGCUAAUCCUGGUCGGACAUCAGGAGGUUAGUGCAAUGGCAUAAGCCAGCUUGACUGCGAGCGUGACGGCGCGAGCAGGUGCGAAAGCAGGUCAUAGUGAUCCGGUGGUUCUGAAUGGAAGGGCCAUCGCUCAACGGAUAAAAGGUACUCCGGGGAUAACAGGCUGAUACCGCCCAAGAGUUCAUAUCGACGGCGGUGUUUGGCACCUCGAUGUCGGCUCAUCACAUCCUGGGGCUGAAGUAGGUCCCAAGGGUAUGGCUGUUCGCCAUUUAAAGUGGUACGCGAGCUGGGUUUAGAACGUCGUGAGACAGUUCGGUCCCUAUCUGCCGUGGGCGCUGGAGAACUGAGGGGGGCUGCUCCUAGUACGAGAGGACCGGAGUGGACGCAUCACUGGUGUUCGGGUUGUCAUGCCAAUGGCACUGCCCGGUAGCUAAAUGCGGAAGAGAUAAGUGCUGAAAGCAUCUAAGCACGAAACUUGCCCCGAGAUGAGUUCUCCCUGACUCCUUGAGAGUCCUGAAGGAACGUUGAAGACGACGACGUUGAUAGGCCGGGUGUGUAAGCGCAGCGAUGCGUUGAGCUAACCGGUACUAAUGAACCGUGAGGCUUAACCUU
rnacentral:rRNA from 1 species